GACGAACGCUGGCGGCGUGCUUAACACAUGCAAGUCGAACGGAAAGGCCCUGCUUUUGUGGGGUGCUCGAGUGGCAAACGGGUGAGUAACACGUGAGUAACCUGCCCUUGACUUUGGGAUAACUUCAGGAAACUGGGGCUAAUACCGGAUAGGAGCUCCUGCUGCAUGGUGGGGGUUGGAAAGUUUCGGCGGUUGGGGAUGGACUCGCGGCUUAUCAGCUUGUUGGUGGGGGAUUGGCUUACCAAGGCUUUGACGGGUAGCCGGCCUGAGAGAAUGACCCGCCACAUUGGGCCUGAGAUACGGCACAGACUCCUACGGGAGGCAGCAGUGGGGAAUAUUGCACAAUGGGCGGAAGCCUGAUGCAGCAACGCCGCGUGCGGGAUGACUGCCUUCGGGUUGUGAACCGCUUUCGCCUGUGACGAAGCGUGAGUGACGGUAAUGGGUAAAGAAGCACCGGCUAACUACGUG
rnacentral:rRNA from 1 species